rnacentral:siRNA from 1 species
GACCACCGCCGGAAGAGAGGC